UUCUUUCUUCACACGUGGCCCUCCAGGUGGCAUUAAUAACUCCUUUUUUUUCUAUCUUUUUCCUUUGUAAAAAUCUCUUUUUAAACCAUUUUAGCUUUUAAGUAAUUAGAAUUAGAUUAGUUUGUGAUUAGGAUGUUAAAUAAGUUUUUCUUGUAAACAUAUAGUAAUUGACUGUUUUUUAGGAUAAAUAUGUUUUAUUUUUAAAUUUUGGUUCUUGCUUUUCUAAAAAAAUAAAAAAAAUAUUGCAAAUCUUUUCUUUUUUCUUAAAUAGGUCUCUAAUUUUCAUAUUUUCCUUUUAACCCCUCUCCAUCUUUCUCUUUUUGUAGAUGAGCCCUUGGUCAAAGGGGCUGAUUUAGUCAAAAUUGAGGGUUGUGUUGCCCUAAAUGAAACACACCGUUUUUGGCAAAACGCUGAAUGAAAGCGCGAGAAAGAGAGCAUUCAAAAUUCUUCCCCAAAUCUGAGCUAGGGUUCGUGCCCUUUGAGAAGCCAGAAGAGCCCUUUGGAGCUCUUGAACUAGAGUGAGGAUGGGCUGAAGAUGAAGAUGCCUACAAAGGGGCUGACCAGUGGGCACGAACAAAGACCGAUUGAAGAAAUGAAGUUGGUUCGAUGUAGGGUCUUGGCUUCUCGUGAUAAAGCAUAGUUCGGGGUUUCUGUUUUAUGCAUCAACAUGGCUCGGGUUCUUCCCUUUUCUCUCUUUUUCCCGUUUCUGGUUCUGUAAAUAGGUGUGUAAUCUAGAGUAAUCUGUGGAGUAGAAAGUAAUGGGUAGGUAGUCAGAAUCUGUAAUCUGGAGAGUAGUGUAGUAGGAUCUUUUUCUUUGUUUUUGAUAGCAUCGUGUGUGUAUUCUUCUUCUCAUAGACUUAGCAUAGGUGUUUAGAAGAGUCUUUUACUUUGUGGAGGGUUCAACCAUGAAUUGCAGAGUAGUCUUGCUCCACUCAGUGCAAAGUAACCUGUGGAGAAGGGUAUUUGCUGCUGUGCGAGAACUCUCGAGUGAUUUCUUGGGCUAUAAUUUCUUGAAACUCAAUGAAUUGUUUCUCUUCAUGUAAUCUGGAUUCCAUGUUCAAUGCUACGUUUAUCAACACAACUUCUGUAUUUCGGUUCCUUGAAUUUUCAUGUACCUUUAUGAUUCAUUUACUUUAGAUUUAUGCCUUUAUCUCGUUUAAUUCUUCCAUGUACCAUUUCUUUUCCUUUUUGUCUUUAAAUUUCAGUUCUGUAAAUUUCUUUCCUGCAUCCCUUUUAUAACAGAUUUUACAAUUCCAGUUCAUAGUUUUAAUGUUUCCUUACUUGUUUUAGCAAAUUGAAUUACGAGGUUAUGCACUUUAGUGGUUUUGUUACGGAAUCCAAAUACCCAGAGUGAGAUUUAUUCACCAAGAGGUCUUCUUGAAGCAUAACAUUGUUUAAUACAUCAUUUAGGAGUAGAUUUUGAUUCAUAUGUUGUUGAUUAAUUGCUGUCUUAGAGUUUAUUUUAGCAAUGCCUUUUUUUUUUUUUUUCCUUUUCCUUUUACUGCAAUUUUAUCUUGGCUUCUUAGCUAGUUUCAGAUUCAAUCUUGGAUACCCAUUUGAAAGUCUAUGAAACAUGCAUUUUUGCUGUAUCAUUCGGAAUUGAUAGGUCCAUAUUAUAUUGCAUAUAGUGGCAAACAUUAUUUUUUUCAGUGCUUUCAUUAGAAUAACAAUUAUGCACUUUUUGUUUUUAAGCAUAUUAGGAUACACUGUUAACAUUUAGGUUAUUUUUGUUGUUUUCUUUGCAUUAGGCCAUUCAUUACCAUCAUUCCAGGUUAUCUUACGUGUUGCACGUGUAAAUAUGAAUUUUGCAUCUAAAUUAGUUUGUGUUUUAACAUCUUGCUUCAUUUAGAGAAUUAUCAUGAAACUACACGUGCACAUAUCUUUGCAUCCAAUAGACCUGCAUUCAUUUCAGAGCCUGCAUUCACCUCACUCUUUGUCUUUCCCGCAUAUUAGAUUUUGCGUAGCAUCUUGGAAAUUGCUAAAAAUAGUGGUUGUUUUAUAUUGCUUAGGGAUGGCAAAAAAAUCCGUAUUUGCGAGUGUCCGCAGGUAAAAUCCGUUAUGGGUAUUUAGUACUCGUGGGUAAGAGAUAUCUGUAGAUAACAGGUAUUUUAAUAUUUGCUUGUUAACUGAUCGGGUUCGGGUAUCACACUAUCC
rnacentral:lncRNA from 1 species